rnacentral:ncRNA from 1 species
UUGAAAAUGAUGAAAAAGACAAGAAACUAUCUCUUGGUUACAUUUUAGAGAAAAGUGGGUUGGUGCAACACUUUAUCCGGAAUAGUUUUACCACUUUUGAAUCCUUGCUUGAAAUCAGUAGAGUAAGGCGUAUCGGAGCGUUAGUCCGUUUAAGAUUUGUCAAUGAGAGACAAAUGAAUUUGGGUGGAACCACGUAGAGAAUGACGUCCCAUAG